CCUGAACGUGUCAGAUGGAUCUUUGUACAGCUUCAAUGUGUCCAGCUACAGAGGAAUCUACUACUGCGUGGCCACGAAUCCCUUGGGAAACCAAACAUCAGAAGAGAUUAAGCUAACUUUCAGCGGUGAAAGCGUUGGUGGUUCCUGAAGAAACCUUCAACACAGCAACCGGUAUAGGAAGCAGGCACUGCGUUAGGGGUGGCCCUGACGGACCUAGGACCACCCACUGUUCAACAGGCCCACCCAAAACCUUUCUUGAAAAAAAAGAAAUUCUUCUGAAAUGCUUUAUUUUUUAAAUUUAUAUUGAUGCUUGAUCCGAUUUGCGUUAAAAGCGGUAGGCUAUUGUUUUAGUUAUUAUAGCCUAGGCUACAAUUGAAUGCAUCUUCUUUGUAUUAAAAGCCAAGCUCAGUCUGUUGCUAAUGAUAUCGAAAUAUUGUUGAAAACUUAAAAUCAAUUAAACAGAAUUCUAAAAUAGUCUGCCUCAUAUUAUACAAGCAUAACUAAACUAUAUCAUAUAGUUUAGUUAUACGGGAGCGAAAAAUUACUCUUGUGCCCGGCGCAUAUCUAAAAAGGGUUGUUCUGAAGUAGCCUAAUUACCCGUAGGUGUGGUUUGGGCGUGAAGUGCAGUAAACCAAUGAGAGUGCCAGCUCCCAUCCCCUUUAAGAGCCAUGAGCGCAUUUGAAUCUGACGAGUUGAUAUUUUGACAGCGCGUCUGCAGUCUCAGAUGAGACGGAUGCACAUGAAUUUCAAACUUCAAAUGGCUCAGUUGUUAAUGGCCAAAUAAUAUGGCCUAAUUCAUACAUGGAAUAAGGUUUUCUUCCACAACUUCAGUCCUCAAAUAAAUUUCGGCAAAGAAAACUUAGGAUGAUAUGACAUAUGAUAUGCGGUAACUGUGGUUCUAUUUAAUGAUAUACGCAAUACAUUAUAAACAUUGUUUCUUAUCAGUAUUGUAUGCAUUACCGUUAUCGACUUGUGUUCCUAAUAUGCAUGUGUCCCCCCGUUAAUAUACAUUGCCAUGGACUGUAUUAUGUGUUACGUGUUUAGUUUCCGUGUGUUUAAACAGAUGGACGCGCCCGCGCGUGUGUUAUAGAUACACACACACGCGCCCGCAUUCAUUCAUUCUUUUUAACACUCACUCGCGGUAAAACAAUGUUUUCUCACGAUCAAAUACAUCAAUCCUAACAGUUAUGGGCAUGUACACGAUGUCUGUGUCAAGAAAAUGUGUUUGAUGUACGGUGUUUGCAGAUGCAUUGAUUUAAAAGUACAACUUAU